rnacentral:rRNA from 1 species
GACGAACGCUGGCGGCGUGCUUAACACAUGCAAGUCGAACGGAAAGGCCCUGCUUUUGUGGGGUGCUCGAGUGGCGAACGGGUGAGUAACACGUGAGUAACCUGCCCUUGACUUUGGGAUAACUUCAGGAAACUGGGGCUAAUACCGGAUAGGAGCUCCUGCUGCAUGGUGGGGGUUGGAACGUUUCGGCGGUUGGGGAUGGACUCGCGGCUUAUCAGCUUGUUGGUGGGGUAGUGGCUUACCAAGGCUUUGACGGGUAGCCGGCCUGAGAGGGUGACCGGCCACAUUGGGACUGAGAGACGGAGCAGACUCCUACGGGAGGCAGCAGGGGGGAAUAUUGCACAAUGGGCGGAAGCCUGAUGCAGAAACGCCGCGUGCGGGAUGACGGCCUUCGGGUUGUAAACCGCUUUCGCCUGUGACGAAGCGUGAGUGACGGUAAUGGGUAAAGAAGCACCGGCUAACUACGUG